rnacentral:siRNA from 1 species
GAUGUGAUUGGAAUACUAGAUUAG